rnacentral:snRNA from 1 species
GAAUGUGAGAGAGAUCUGGCUAUGGCAUGUGUCACCCCACUGAUCACUAGGAUUGGUUCGGCUGACUUGGCUUGCUAAGCAGGUGUCCCCUUCCUCCUUCAACACUCCAUGAGCAUCCUCUCUUUAGCUGUGUGUUUAGCUGAAGAGAAGGACCUCCCCUGAGAGAGGAGGAUCAGUUUUCAAGGCUGUGAGAGCAGCUGUGCUUCCCUGCUGGGAUCUCCACACAAGCUCAGAGAGUCUGAAGGACCAGGAGCUUGUAGGAAGUGAACCCUGACAAGUCCUCCAGACUGGAUGCUCACAUGACUGUUUGACUUCCAUCUUU